rnacentral:misc_RNA from 1 species
GAUGAAGAACGCAGCGAAAUGCGAUAAGUAAUGUGAAUUGCAGAAUUCAGUGAAUCAUCGAAUCUUUGAACGCACCUUGCGCCCCUUGGUUAUUCCAAAGGGCAUGCCUGUUUCAGUAUCAUGAACACCUCAACUCUUGUGGUUUCCCACAAUGAGCUUGGACUGUGGAGGUUUUGUUGGCCCUGUGGUCAGCUCCUCUCAAAUGGAUCAGCUUACCGGUGUUUGGUGGCAUUACGGGUGUGAUAACUAUCUACGCUCGUGGUCGUCUCCAAAUAACCUCCAGUGAUGGAGGUUCGCUGGAGCUUAUAAAUGUCUCUCCCCAGUGAAGACAGCCUUUGAACGUUCGAUCUCAAAUCAGGUAGGACUACCCGCUGAACUUAAGCAUAUCAAUAAGCGGAGGA